rnacentral:lncRNA from 1 species
CCUCUUCUUUCUCUUAUAAAGACAUCAGUCAUCAGAUUUAGAGUCCACCCUAAAUCCAGGAUGACCUCAUCCCAACAUCCAAAUCAAUAGAGGAAACCAAAGAAAGGAGACACGUGGCCUGAAAUUAAUACAGCUGGUGAAGUCAGACUUAAAGCAGGUUCAUUUAUUUACAGUUGACUUGAAUAACUGAAACACGGAUUUUAUAAUUAGAAUGUCUUGGAAAAAGCAACCUAAUUUACAGGUGGACACAAAAAGGUAACGUGGGCUUUACUAGUUUUAGUAUUGAGUUGUAUUAUACCCUUGAUUUGGUAAU